AAGACAAUUUGUCCUUUAAGCCAUGGCUUGCCAACCUCUGUUCUAAGUGGAAGGGGAAAGGAAAUGUCUAAGAUCGUUUCAGGACGUGAUAAUGCCUCGAAGAAAAGUAAAGCUGGUCGAGGCCAUAGAAGGAAAUGAGGUGAGGGAGCCGCUAUUUCAGAAUGUUUGAGGUCUUCCUAAUGAAACGAAGCAAAGGAGCGCGUGAAGUGAGGCUGUCAGAGAGGAUGGGAUCCGGCACACGGUGGAAGGCUUGACUCGAAACAAGAGCCUGGACAAUUACUCUCUUAUAAUAGGAAAGAAGGCAAAAUAUAACAUUACAGAGGCAGUGGGAUGAAUUAGAAGAUUUUAAAAGAUGUUGGAAUAUGUAAUGGUAACGUCCUUGUGAAUUCAGAAGAGUGAAGAACUGCUUCGUCUCGUUUGAGAAGAAAAGGCCAUCUUAUUCUAGUGAAUAAGGGAGGUUUGUUGUAAGAAACGGAGGACUGAAAAAAUCUAUGAAGUAAGGGCCAGCCCCGUGGCUGAGUGGUUAAGUUCGUGUGCUCCACUGCGGCUGCCCAGGGUUUCGCCAGUUCGGAUCCUGGGCGUGGACGUGGCACCGCUCAACAGGCCACGCUGAGGCGGCAUCCCACAUGCCACAACUAGAAGGACCUGCAACUAGGAUAUACAACUAUGUACAGGGGCGAUUUGGGGAGAAAAAGCAGAAAAAAAAAAAAAAGAUUGGCAACAGUUGUUAGCUUGGAUGCCAAUCUUUAAAAAAAAGAAAAACAAAUCUAUGAAGUCAUCCAAAUUUUCACAAAAUUCUCCUUGAGAAUGCCUGUAAAUCCCCCCAAAGAAGUCUUUGAAUUCCAUAGGAACAAGAUAUAGCCAAUAUGACUCACGGCAGGUGAGAGGACACAGCUGGAGAAGAGCAAGUCCAGGCUUCCGCUUCCCUUGGGUGGCUGACUUCUAGAUCUGCAAUGCUUAAUCAUAAAAAAAAGGAAGCGAUGGUUGAGGACAUUAAAUGAGAAAUGUGUCUUCAAAGUACCUCGCCUGAAGAGCCAAGAUAAUUUACCAAGCCCGGAAAAGGGCAAGAGCACAUCAGGAUCACGAUGGACACAACAGAGCUCAGUCUUGAGAAACAAUCGCAGGGGCAUCGUUACAUUUAUCUGGGUCUUUCUUCAUCUGGAGGACUUCCACUGCUGCCGUUCACUGCAGGAUUGGCCGGUGAGACGUGUAAGGAGAGACUUGGCUGUGUUACCCAUAUAAGGAGCCUCCUAGAGGUAGCCCUGCAGCCCUCAGCCCUGAGUGUGUGUAAGGCAGCAAGCAUCUCAGCAGGAGGAAAAGACGUGUCUGCCUUCAAGGAAUUUUAAAUUUAAUGAGGAAAUAUUAAUUGUGAUGGUUUGGAACCUCAUCACCAUUAGAGGCACACUAGCCUCUUCACUUUUCUCAAAUAUGGCCUGGCAUGUUACACCUCAGGGCCUUUGUACAAGAUCCUUCUUCCCGGCAUGGUCUUCUAAUAUAGCCUCAUGACCUCCCCCUCUGCAUCUCCUUCAGGUCUUU
rnacentral:lncRNA from 1 species